rnacentral:rRNA from 1 species
AAGAAAUGAAUAGUAGUUCAGCCUCCCGGAUUCUCCCUUCACCUCAGUGUACACACACCCCUGAUGUCUUAAGAAACCGUGAGAGUUAUUCAAAGGGGGUACAGCCCCUUUGAAACAAGACACAACUUUCCCAGGUGGGUAAAGAUCAUAAUACAUAAGGUAAGUAACUCUCGUGGGCCCGAAAGCAGCCACCCCCUGAAGAAAGCGUCUAAGCUCAGAACAAUCUUACCCCUCCCCCAAUCCUGAUCAUUUAAUCUUAUCCCCCUAAACUUAUUGGGUCGUCCCAUGCCCCCAUGGGAGUGACCAUGCUAAUAUGAGUAAUAAGAAAGCCAAGGCUUUCUCCCCGCACGCAUGUAAAUCGGAAUGGACCCCCCACCGAAUAUUAACGGCCCCAAACACAGAGGGCAGUGGACGAUAAACCAAACAACAAGAAAAUCCCCCAACCGCUUACCGUUAACCCAACACAGGUGUGCCCCUAGGGAAAAACUAAAAGGGGGAGAAGGAACUCGGCAAACACAUAAAGCCUCGCCUGUUUACCAAAAACAUCGCCUCUUGCAAAUAAUGAAUAAGAGGUCCCGCCUGCCCUGUGACUAUUAGUUUAACGGCCGCGGUAUUUUGACCGCGCGAAGGUAGCGCAAUCACUUGUCUCUUAAAUGGAGACCUGUAUGAAUGGCACAACGAGGGCUUAGCUGUCUCCUCCCCUAAGUUAAUGAAAUUGAUCUCCCCGUGCAGAAGCGGGGAUAACUACAUAAGACGAGAAGACCCUAUGAAGCUUUAGACGUAAGGUAGCCCAAACUACAAGGACUCCCCUGAUAAGGGAACAAACCAAAAGGCCCCCUACCCCGAUGUCUUUGGUUGGGGCGACCGCGGGGAAAGAAAAAACCCCCACGUGGAACGGGAGUACAACUCCUUAAACUCAGAGCCACAGCUCUAAGAAACAAAAUUUUUGACCUAAGGAUCCGGCAGUGCCGAUCAACGGACCGAGUUACUCUAGGGAUAACAGCGCAAUCCCCUUUUAGAGACCAUAUCAACAAGGGGGUUUACGACCUCGAUGUUGGAUCAGGACAUCCUAUUGGUGCAGCAGCUAUUAAGGGUUCGUUUGUUCAACGAUUAAAGUCCUACGUGAUCUG